rnacentral:rRNA from 1 species
UGCCUACGGGGGGCAGCAGUGAGGAAUAUUGGUCAAUGGCCGAGAGGCUGAACCAGCCAAGUCGCGUGAGGGAAGACGGCCCUACGGGUUGUAAACCUCUUUUGUCGGGGAGCAAAGCGAACCACGUGUGGUUCAUUGAGAGUACCCGAAGAAAAAGCAUCGGCUAACUCCGUGCCAGCAGCCGCGGUAAUACGUAGGAGGCAAGCGUUAUCCGGAAUGACUGGGCGUAAAGGGUGCGUAGGUGGUUUGGCAAGUUAGUAGCGUAACCCCGGGGCUCAACCUCGGAACUACUACUAAAACUGUCG